rnacentral:rRNA from 1 species
UACAGAGGUGGCGAGCGUUGUUCGGAAUUACUGGGCGUAAAGGGCGCGUAGGCGGUUCGUCAAGUCCUGUGUGAAAUCCCCCGGCUCAACUGGGGAACUGCACAGGAAACUAGCGGGCUUGAGUUCGGGAGAGGGAAGCGGAAUUCCGGGUGUAGCGGUGAAAUGCGUAGAUAUCCGGAGGAACACCGGUGGCGAAGGCGGCUUCCUGGACCGACACUGACGCUGAGGCGCGAAAGCUAGGGGAGCAAACGGG